UACGUAGGCAGCAAGCGUUGUUCGGAGUUACUGGGCGUAAAGGGUGUGUAGGCGGUCUUCUAAGUUUGGUGUGAAAUCUCCCGGCUCAACUGGGAGGGUGCGCCGAAAACUGGGAGGCUAGAGUGCGGGAUGGGAGAGUGGAAUUCCUAGUGUAGAGGUGAAAAUUCGUAGAUAUUGGGAAGAACACCAGUGGCGAAGGCGGCUAACUGGUCCAGAUCUGACGCUGAGGUGCGAAAGCGUGGGGAGCAAACAGG
rnacentral:rRNA from 1 species